GAUGAACGCUGGCGGCGUGCCUAAUACAUGCAAGUCGAACGAGAGCAACCGGUGCUUGCACUGGUCAAUCUAGUGGCGAACGGGUGAGUAACACGUGGGUAACCUGCCCAUUUGUGGUGGAUAACAUCCGGAAACGGAUGCUAAAACCGCAUAGGUCUUCGAACCGCAUGGUUUGAAGAGGAAAAGAGGCGUAAGCUUCUGCUGAUGGAUGGACCCGCGUUGCAUUAGCUAGUUGGUGAGGUAACGGCUCACCAAGGCCGUGAUGCAUAGCCGACCUGAGAGGGUGAUCGGCCACAUUGGGACUGAGACACGGCCCAGACUCCUACGGGAGGCAGCAGUAGGGAAUCUUCCGCAAUGGACGCAAGUCUGACGGAGCAACGCCGCGUGAGUGAAGAAGGUUUUCGGAUCGUAAAACUCUGUUGUUAGAGAAGAACAAGUGCUAGAGUAACUGUUAGCGCCUUGACGGUAUCUAACCAGAAAGCCACGGCUAUCUACGUG
rnacentral:rRNA from 1 species